ensembl:lncRNA
GUCUGAGUUACACAAAUGUUUUCUCUUCUGUUUCAGGGCUCCCUGAAUGGGCUGCCGCACUCAUCGGUGUUCUUGUUGUUUUAUUAUUGCUUUAGUGAUUGCCCUUGCAGUUACAGCAUACUGUUUGAAGAAAGAUUCACAAAGAAUGGAAAAUGGCCGCUCCUCAGAGCUGCACAGAAAUCUCACCUCUGAACAACCUUAAAAGUUUGUAGUGGUCUUUUUAACCUGUUUUUUUUUUUUGUUUUUUUUUUGUUUUUUUCUUUGAUUCAUCAGAGAUUUUAAUCAGGACAGGAAAACAAGUUGGUGCUUUUUUUGUAUUUCUAAUCUUAAUAGGUUGUAUUUUGUUUUUGUUUUUUUCAUUGUACUGAAUUACUGAUUUAUCUCGCAGGCCUCAAUAUCUGCUUAUAACAUGGACAUUGCAUGUUUUGUUAUUUUCAGUCUUAAAAUCACUGUGGAGUGAUGAGGACAUUGUAACCGUCCAUCCAUCCGCUUAUCCUUUUUCAGGGUUGCGGGGGCGCUGGAGCCUAUCCCAGCUGUCGAGAGGCGGGGCACACCCUGGACAGGUCGCCAGUCUGUCGCAGGGCCAUAACACACAGAGACAAACAACCAUUUACACUCACAUUCCCCAUUAUCCCCACUAACUGCAUGUCUUUGGACUGUGGGUGGAAGCUGGAGUACCUAGAGAGAACAUGCAAACUCCACACAGAAAGACCCCGGCCUGAUGGCGGAAUUGAACUCAGAACCUUCUUGCCGUAAUCGUCUCCAUGUUAAUGCACAUGUUUCCAUCAUUGAAACCUUAGUUUGAUCAUUUACUGAUCAUCUCAGUGUUUCCUCCUCUGCUGCAGUUUCACGGCUCCUCCUCCUGACUCCAGAUUUGCUAAUGACGUGAAGAUGUUUCAAGAAAUCCUCUUUUAAAUGCACCCAAGACAGUAUAAGGUUUUACUUUAGUUGCCUAACUUUAAGCUUACAGUAGUCAAAACUUGCUUCCACACAUGACUUUAACAGUAAUUAUACUGUCUUGCUGAGAUAUUGUUAGAAUAAUAUAUUUUGACUUUUAAUGUCACAAUGAUAUCUGUUCUUACAUAAACGUGUGCAGCUUUAUAAAUAAUUUGCUGACCAAACGUUCUGUGACAUUCAUGUUUUUAAUGAGGACAGUGAUGUUUUUUUCAUCAUAAUAGAUUAAGAUAAUUGGAACUCGUACAGAAUUUGAUAAAUAAUGAGAAAUGCAAAAUUAAAAUUACCCAAGAUAAAAAAGGACCCUUAAUGUUAAGACUGGAGAGAAGUUAAAAUAUCAGGUUUGUCAGUCAAAAGCUGUCAUACAGAUGGUGAAGAAUCUAAACUUCUCGACUCAUAUUUAACUCAGGUUAGUUAAACAUGUACUCAUGGAAGACUUGAUUAAACUGAACCCUCAGC